UACGUAUGGGGCAAGCGUUAUCCGGAUUUACUGGGUGUAAAGGGAGCGUAGGCGGCAUGGCAAGUCAGAAGUGAAAGCCCGGGGCUCAACCCCGGAAUUGCUUUUGAAACUGUCAGGCUAGAGUGUCGGAGGGGUAAGCGGAAUUCCUAGUGUAGCGGUGAAAUGCGUAGAUAUUAGGAGGAACACCGGUGGCGAAGGCGGCUUACUGGACGAUUACUGACGCUGAGGCUCGAAAGCGUGGGGAGCAAACAGG
rnacentral:rRNA from 1 species